GUGCUUGUAGUUCAAUUGGAUAGAAUAUCGAGUUUCGGCCUCGAGGAUAUAAGUUCGAGUCUUAUCAAGCAUU
rnacentral:tRNA from 2 species